rnacentral:rRNA from 1 species
ACAGAGGCGGCAAGCGUUGUUCGGAAUUAUUGGGCGUGAAGAGCAUGUAGGCGGCUAUGUAAGUCGGUUGUGAAAGCCUUCCGCUUAACGGAAGAAUGGCGGUCGAAACUGCAUGGCUUGAGUGCGGGAGGGGAGAGUGGAACUUCUGGUGGAGCGGUGAAAUGCGUAGAUAUCAGAGGGAACACCGGUGGCGAAGGCGACGCAUUGGCCGCAAUCUGACGCUGAGGCGCGAAAGCAUGGGGAGCGAACGG